CAACAGGGAGCAACCGAGGAUCUCAGGGCUGAGAUAGAAAGUAUCAUAGUGGCCCUGCUACGCAAGAAGCAGGACCUCUAUCGUCAGCAUGGUUGGUUGACAGAUAUUCAAAUGGCUCAUUGCAAAUGCAAACAAACUCUGUUUUCCUUGUUUUCACUUUCUUGUUUCACUUUGCAGAUAGCAACCAGACCAGACAAAGAAAGAGAAGAAAAAUAAGAGAAUUAAAAAACAAACUAAGACAAAAGAUCCGGCUCUACAAUACUAUUGCAGAGGAUCCCAUUGAUGAGGGAUUGGCAUCCAAUUUGACAGAGGACUACAUCCUGCCUUGGGAGAGAAGUGAGGAUGGCCACUCCUUCAGAUUAAAACGGUCUGUUUUUGACCAAACAAUGCUAAUAUGACGCCUUGAGGAGGAGCAGAGCAUCCUGGUGAAGGAGAUGUCUCAACACAUCACGUCUCUCCGGAAGGAGAUAAAGGCAGUAGAUAAGCUUAAAGAGAACAUCAGAAUGGGCUAUUUUGGUGACAUGUCAGAGGAUGCUGCAGCUGGUUGGAAAAGUGUCCUCAUGCGGAGGUCCUCCAUACUGGAGAGUUCAUCACAAAAUGCUGUGAGCAUGUAUAGUGCUAUAGUUGACAACCUCCAGAUACAGGACACAGAAUGCAGUACGGACACUGAUGAUGAGUAUGACCUUAGUAGUCCAGAGUCAGAAGAUUAGGAAAGAGACCACUCUAUGUUUUGUUUUGUUUUUAAGAUCUGUUUCCUUUUUUGUUUUGUUUUUUGCAGUGGAGGCACUGACCGAACAACCACUGAGCCUCAUUGGCCAGUUGAAACCCGUUAACCGAUUAGUUCAAAAUAUGCUACGCUAUUUGAAAUUACAGCCAUUUCGAGCCGCGCCUGCAAUUUCACAACUCUCUCGCAUAUCUCUGCCACUCUGCCAGUGCCUCCCGCUCACACACACACACACACUGCCCCGGCCCCGCCCUUCCACUCAUGUAACUUUUUUUUUAAUCCCAUACAGUGCGAAACAUGAGUUCCACAAACGCGGCACUGAGGAGGUUGUAUGAGUACAAAUGGCUCCUUUUGGGUACAAGGUGAUCGUGUUGAAAAUAAAGGCAUUUAUCUAGCAUUAGAAGCUCAUUUGAAACAUUGCCGCGGCUCAUUUAAGAAAAUGACAGCUCCGAAGA